rnacentral:rRNA from 1 species
UGAGGAAUAUUGCACAAUGGGCGCAAGCCUGAUGCAGCAACGCCGCGUGGGCGAUGAAGGCCUUCGGGUCGUAAAGCCCUUUUUGAGGGGAUGAGGAAGGACAGUACCCUCAGAAUAAGCCUCGGCUAACUACGUGCCAGCAGCCGCGGUAAAACGUAGGAGGCGAGCGUUAUCCGGAUUUACUGGGCGUAAAGCGCGUGCAGGCGGAUUGGAGAGUUGGAUGUGAAAGCUCCCGGCUUAACUGGGAGAGGUCGUUCAAUACUUCCAGUCUUGAGUGCAGUAGAGGGAAGUGGAAUUCCGGGUGUAGUGGUGAAAUGCGUAGAUAUCCGGAGGAACACCAGUGGCGAAAGCGGCUUCCUGGACUGUAACUGACGCUCAGACGCGAAAGCUAGGGUAGCAAACG